GGGGAACGGCUAUGGCGUCCCCAGAGAUGACCACAUGGGAAGAGUAUGGAUUACAAGAGCGUCGAGGACGCGAUCUUCGGUUUGGAAAGUUAGUGAUAAGCAGCCAGGUUAUAAUGCAAGUGACUCAGAUUCAGAUGAACUGAAGGGUGAUUCUUAGCACGACGAAGUUGGCCUUCGUGUCCGAUCAAAUUUUGAGCUGGAUGUCGUAGGCUGUGCUUGGAAUCGUGCUGACCCUCGCCCGUCAUGGAUGUGCCUGUAACAAGAUUUAUACUUUCUUCAGUUAAUUUUGUUUAUUUUCUGGACGUAUCACUGUACCUAAGCCUUUAUUUUCAUGGGAAGACAAUCAUUUGUUAAUUGCAA